GAUGAACGCUGGCGGCGUGCCUAAUACAUGCAAGUCGAGCGAACAGACGAGGAGCUUGCUCCUCUGACGUUAGCGGCGGACGGGUGAGUAACACGUGGAUAACCUACCUAUAAGACUGGGAUAACUUCGGGAAACCGGAGCUAAUACCGGAUAAUAUAUUGAACCGCAUGGUUCAAUAGUGAAAGACGGUUUUGCUGUCACUUAUAGAUGGAUCCGCGCCGCAUUAGCUAGUUGGUAAGGUAACGGCUUACCAAGGCAACGAUGCGUAGCCGACCUGAGAGGGUGAUCGGCCACACUGGAACUGAGACACGGUCCAGACUCCUACGGGAGGCAGCAGUAGGGAAUCUUCCGCAAUGGGCGAAGCCUGACGGAGCAACGCCGCGUGAGUGAUGAAGGUCUUCGGAUCGUAAAACCCUGUUAUUAGGGAAGAACAAAUGUGUAAGUAACUAUGCACGUCUUGACGGUACCUAAUCAGAAAGCCACGGCUAACUACGUG
rnacentral:rRNA from 1 species